UCCUUGGUGGCUCAGAUGGUAAAGAACCUGCCUGCAAUGCAGGAGACCCAGGUUUGAUCCCUGGGUCGGGAA
rnacentral:tRNA from 1 species